UUAUAGCCCUGAUUGAAGCAAUUGUUUGAGCUCUUUUUUGUUUUUUUUAAACAAAAAAAGCGAGUGCGGAAAGCAGGAAAUUGC
rnacentral:sRNA from 1 species